GGGAACAACUCUAAACUUCAGCGACGGAUCAUCUUGGUCUCGCAUGCGAUGCAAGAACGCAGCGAUGGAUAAGUAAUGGAUUGCAGAAUUCCGGAAUCAUCGA
rnacentral:rRNA from 1 species